GAUAGUGAUUAAGAAGCUCUGCCCUCUUCCAUUGCAGUGAGACUAUGUGCUCCAACUCCAGAAGGGGCUGUGUGGAGGCAGAGCAAGAAGCAAGGACCUUACAGGUAGCUUCCCGUCAGCAAGCUAAUGAGAGCAGGAGGCCUACUCUCUUGACAGAGCCAUAUGUGCAAAUGUUCCCCUCCAUGCACAGCAUUAUGGGACAUUAUCCUGACUGUGAGGUCAGGAGGAAGCAAGGAAAGGAGGUGUGAUGGUGUGAGGGUGAGUGAGGGGUGUAAGAGAGAGGAAUGUUAGUUGUGACUGGGAAAAAAAAGGGAGUCUAUCCUGUGCUACUAGCAGAAAGGAGUGUGCUGGGUUGGGAGUGCCUUUGGCACUCAGGGAUAACUAAGACUGGAUAGGGG
rnacentral:lncRNA from 1 species